CAUGUGUUAGAUAUGGCCCUCAGGGAACACCCAUUCUGGAAUGAAGUGACAUCACAUCGCUUUGGGAUUUCACGGUCAUCCAGUUAUGCUCUGAGCUCACUGCUCUCAGGAAGCUAGCAGGUUAGACACUUUAAUCAAGAAGGGAGAGCUCUGAGUCCUGUGAGAUAUUCCUGUAGCUCAGAGAUUAAUUUUAACUAAAUGGAAAUGUCUCAUGAAAUAAAAGCAAGAUUGAGCCUUUAUGGAAAAUUUUAGAACUGUACAUGGCAACAAUCCCAAGAUGAAACACCAGGGUCCAAAGGUAAUCUUAAAGAGAUGCUUAUAGGGUCACUCAAGGCAGCUGCAAUGACCUAUCAUGAACAUAAUGUCCUAAUGUGCAAAUCUUUAUGCUAUAUCUAUAUAUACAAAUGGAGGGUUAAAUACUCACCUAGCUAUUUUUAGAUGU
rnacentral:lncRNA from 1 species